CCCGCGUUUCCAUUGCCUUUAACUGCCUCUUAUACAAUUCAGUAGUUGUCUCUACGCUCCAUCUAGCUAGAUUCUCCAUUGCUUCUGCACUACUCACUUCCUUCCUAAACUUCUCUUCCCAGUACUUCUCAUCCUCUUCUUCAUCAUCAAACCCCCCGCUUCAGUUUCCAAUUCACCAUCAUCCCAGCCCUCUUCCAUAUCCGCGACCACAUCUUCUCGAUCAUCACCAUCGCCAUCAUCCUCAAUCCAAUCAGUGAACUCAUUCUCAUUACUAUUAUGAUCAUCAUCAUCAUCUGGUGCAUCACAGCCCAUCUCCAUUUCCUCCAACUUAGCCUUCCACUCCUUGGUAUACGGAUGCAACAACAGCACCGGAUGGUUCAUGAGCAAGAACUCCAAACACAAAGACUUCUUCUCAUCGCUCAACUUCUCAUAUGCAUUCACCAC
rnacentral:misc_RNA from 1 species